rnacentral:rRNA from 1 species
UGAUGUGGGGGAUAACCAUUGGAAACGAUGGCUAAUACCGCAUGAUGCCUACGGGCCAAAGAGGGGGACCUUCGGGCCUCUCGCGUCAGGAUAUGCCUAGGUGGGAUUAGCUAGUUGGUGAGGUAAGGGCUCACCAAGGCGACGAUCCCUAGCUGGUCUGAGAGGAUGAUCAGCCACACUGGAACUGAGACACGGUCCAGACUCCUACGGGAGGCAGCAGUGGGGAAUAUUGCACAAUGGGCGCAAGCCUGAUGCAGCCAUGCCGCGUGUGUGAAGAAGGCCUUCGGGUUGUAAAGCACUUUCAGUCGUGAGGAAGGUGGUGGUGUUAAUAGCUCCAUCAUUUGACGUUAGCGACAGAAGAAGCACCGGCUAACUCCGUGCCAGCAGCCGCGGUAAUACGGAGGGUGCGAGCGUUAAUCGGAAUUACUGGGCGUAAAGCGCAUGCAGGUGGUUUGUUAAGUCAGAUGUGAAAGCCCGGGGCUCAACCUCGGAAUUGCAUUUGAAACUGGCAGACUAGAGUACUGUAGAGGGGGGUAGAAUUUCAGGUGUAGCGGUGAAAUGCGUAGAGAUCUGAAGGAAUACCGGUGGCGAAGGCGGCCCCCUGGACAGAUACUGACACUCAGAUGCGAAAGCGUGGGGAGCAAACAGGAUUAGAUACCCUGGUAGUCCACGCCGUAAACGAUGUCUACUUGGAGGUUGUGGCCUUGAGCCGUGGCUUUCGGAGCUAACGCGUUAAGUAGACCGCCUGGGGAGUACGGUCGCAAGAUUAAAACUCAAAUGAAUUGACGGGGGCCCGCACAAGCGGUGGAGCAUGUGGUUUAAUUCGAUGCAACGCGAAGAACCUUACCUACUCUUGACAUCCAGAGAACUUUCCAGAGAUGGAUUGGUGCCUUCGGGAACUCUGAGACAGGUGCUGCAUGGCUGUCGUCAGCUCGUGUUGUGAAAUGUUGGGUUAAGUCCCGCAACGAGCGCAACCCUUAUCCUUGUUUGCCAGCGAGUAAUGUCGGGAACUCCAGGGAGACUGCCGGUGAUAAACCGGAGGAAGGUGGGGACGACGUCAAGUCAUCAUGGCCCUUACGAGUAGGGCUACACACGUGCUACAAUGGCGCAUACAGAGGGCAGCCAACUUGCGAAAGUGAGCGAAUCCCAAAAAGUGCGUCGUAGUCCGGAUUGGAGUCUGCAACUCGACUCCAUGAAGUCGGAAUCGCUAGUAAUCGUGGAUCAGAAUGCCACGGUGAAUACGUUCCCGGGCCUUGUACACACCGCCCGUCACACCAUGGGAGUGGGCUGCAAAAGAAGUAGGUAGUUUAACCUUCGGG